rnacentral:rRNA from 1 species
CCCGCCUGCCCUGUGACUAUAUGUUUAACGGCCGCGGUAUUUUGACCGUGCGAAGGUAGCGCAAUCACUUGUCUUUUAAAUGGAGACCUGUAUGAAUGGCAUAACGAGGGCUUGACUGUCUCCUCUUUCAAGUCAAUGAAAUUGAUCUCCCCGUGAAGAAGCGGGGAUAGGCACAUAAGACGAGAAGACCCUAUGGAGCUUUAG